GACUGUUGUUAACAUGACGCUUAUAACUGCGCUGUGGCGGACAUGACAGCUCACAGCUCCUCAGAAGCUCCGUGCACCGUGAGCUGUCCAGUGAGGGGAUGGUUUCAUGAUCAAAUCUUCAUUUACUGUCCACAUUAUCAGAUGAGGACGUCACCAAAGAGUGUCCUUUGAGUCAAUGUUUACAUUUAUGUACAGAUAAUUAAGAACAAUUAGUUAAUUGUAAAAUGCUAAUUAUUUUCUCCUGCCACCUUUCAGACAUUAUAAUCCAACUUGGAUGGAACAACUUCGUGACCUUAAUGACACCCAGCAACACGAUGUUUUUUUCUUUAUUUGUGUUAGAGCUAGAGAGACACACAAGCACCACAGGGGAGGAUCUGCAGCAAAGGGCCCACCGGAAAUCAAACCUUGGCCGCCAUGAUGACGACAACAUGGGGCACUUGAGUGUGAAUCUAGCCUUUUCAUUUUUAUUUACAACAUUAGCAUUGAAAAGAGCAAAAGUUGAUGCUUGAGAUGAUUUUGUUUUUACUGAAGAGGAUGUAUGUCCUCCCUUUGUCCUUUAUCCCCUUACUCUUUCUUUUUAGGUGUGAUUACGACUACCAGCAUGAACCUCAACACCUUCUUUGCUGUUCCACUAGUGUGACCCAUGAUCGGAUACAAGUUGUCAAGGAUAAACGGGAAGAGAAUCAUGUCAGCCCACAGACAACCGGUUGACCUGUGAGUCUUCAAGCAGUAAUGAUGACUACUCCUGCCUUAAGUUCCAGUUUCCUGGACAUCAUGUCGGCAUGAG